GUGGGGAAUCUUCCACAAUGGACGAAAGUCUGAUGGAGCAACGCCGCGUGAGUGAAGAAGGGUUUCGGCUCGUAAAGCUCUGUUGUCGGGGACGAAUGUGCAGUAUUUGAAUAAAGUACUGCAAUGACGGUACCUGACGAGGAAGCCACGGCUAACUACGUGCCAGCAGCCGCGGUAAUACGUAGGUGGCAAGCGUUGUCCGGAAUUAUUGGGCGUAAAGGGAGCGCAGGCGGGAAGGUAAGUCGGUCUUAAAAGUGCGGGGCUCAACCCCGUGAUGGGAUCGAAACUAUCUUUCUUGAGUGCAGGAGAGGAAAGUGGAAUUCCUAGUGUAGCGGUGAAAUGCGUAGAUAUUAGGAGGAACACCAGUGGCGAAGGCGACUUUCUGGACUGUAACUGACGCUGAGGCACGAAAGCGUGGGGAGCAAACAGGAUUAGAAACCCUUGUAGUCC
rnacentral:rRNA from 1 species